UUUACGGAGAGUUUGAUCCUGGCUCAGGACGAACGCUGGCGGCGUGCUUAACACAUGCAAGUCGAACGAUGAUGCCCAGCUUGCUGGGUGGAUUAGUGGCGAACGGGUGAGUAACACGUGAGUAACCUGCCCCUGACUCUGGGAUAAGCGUUGGAAACGACGUCUAAUACUGGAUAUGAUCACUGGCCGCAUGGUCUGGUGGUGGAAAGAUUUUUUGGUUGGGGAUGGACUCGCGGCCUAUCAGCUUGUUGGUGAGGUAAUGGCUCACCAAGGCGACGACGGGUAGCCGGCCUGAGAGGGUGACCGGCCACACUGGGACUGAGAAACGGCCCAGACUCCUACGGGAGGCAGCAGUGGGGAAUAUUGCACAAUGGGCGAAAGCCUGAUGCAGCAACGCCGCGUGAGGGAUGACGGCCUUCGGGUUGUAAACCUCUUUUAGUAGGGAAGAAGCGAAAGUGACGGUACCUGCAGAAAAAGCACCGGCUAACUACGUGCCAGCAGCCGCGGUAAUACGUAGGGUGCAAGCGUUGUCCGGAAUUAUUGGGCGUAAAGAGCUCGUAGGCGGUUUGUCGCGUCUGCUGUGAAAUCCCGAGGCUCAACCUCGGGCUUGCAGUGGGUACGGGCAGACUAGAGUGCGGUAGGGGAGAUUGGAAUUCCUGGUGUAGCGGUGGAAUGCGCAGAUAUCAGGAGGAACACCGAUGGCGAAGGCAGAUCUCUGGGCCGUAACUGACGCUGAGGAGCGAAAGCAUGGGGAGCGAACAGGAUUAGAUACCCUGGUAGUCCAUGCCGUAAACGUUGGGCGCUAGAUGUAGGGACCUUUCCACGGUUUCUGUGUCGUAGCUAACGCAUUAAGCGCCCCGCCUGGGGAGUACGGCCGCAAGGCUAAAACUCAAAGGAAUUGACGGGGGCCCGCACAAGCGGCGGAGCAUGCGGAUUAAUUCGAUGCAACGCGAAGAACCUUACCAAGGCUUGACAUACACCGGAAACGGCCAGAGAUGGUCGCCCCCUUGUGGUCGGUGUACAGGUGGUGCAUGGUUGUCGUCAGCUCGUGUCGUGAGAUGUUGGGUUAAGUCCCGCAACGAGCGCAACCCUCGUUCUAUGUUGCCAGCGGGUUAUGCCGGGGACUCAUAGGAGACUGCCGGGGUCAACUCGGAGGAAGGUGGGGAUGACGUCAAAUCAUCAUGCCCCUUAUGUCUUGGGCUUCACGCAUGCUACAAUGGCCGGUACAAAGGGCUGCGAUACCGUAAGGUGGAGCGAAUCCCAAAAAGCCGGUCUCAGUUCGGAUUGAGGUCUGCAACUCGACCUCAUGAAGUCGGAGUCGCUAGUAAUCGCAGAUCAGCAACGCUGCGGUGAAUACGUUCCCGGGCCUUGUACACACCGCCCGUCAAGUCAUGAAAGUCGGUAACACCCGAAGCCGGUGGCCUAACCCUUGUGGAAGGAGCCGUCGAAGGUGGGAUCGGUGAUUAGGACUAAGUCGUAACAAGGUAGCCGUACCGGAAGGUGCGGCUGGAUCACCUCCUUUCUAAGGA
rnacentral:rRNA from 1 species